rnacentral:lncRNA from 1 species
UUUAUUCUCUAUACAUUUGAUUUCACUGAAUGUUAUAACUAUCAUAAUGUAUAUAGUUUUGUAAUGUCUUGUGCAUUCACUAUAUAUGCAGCUAUUGGCUUAAAUGUAAAUCUAGAGAGUGCAAGUGAUUUUUUAAGUCAUCAAGCAUGGAUGAUUCUAAACUAUUUGUAUUUCAAUCUUUUGUAAGCGAACAUACAUGUUCA